GGCAAGUGGCAACUAAUUUUCACAUGUCACUAAAUACUAUUAAUAUCAAAAGAAAACUGAGAGUCAAACACAAGUAGAAAUGUUGUAAAGUUCAGUCAUCAUGGAUGUCAUGAGUCAUGUGUGCUCCUCAGCCACAUUUCUCAGUUACUGCAAAAUCCUCUGUUAUUUUUUAACUAUAUCUUGUGACCUAGAAAAUACACUGAGGUUAGUGUGAGAGACUGCUAUGGCUCAGUGCCUUAAAUUGUAGCCAUAAAAAAAAAAAAAAGACAAGGAUUGAAUCCUUGCUGGGAGAUAAAAGUCACGAUCCAUCAAAUUAGAAAUGUGCUGGCAAAACAUCUUGUUUUCUUGGUGAAUAUGACAGGGCUAUAGUUGAUUGGUUAGUAAUAAUGUAAGAGCGUGAAAACAGCGCUGAAGAGGUAUCCUAGCAUUACUUUGGCUAAGAAAUAUGGCUCCUGCUUUCAGGUGUAUCCUUUUCUAUCACAAUGUGUACAGCAUCUUUGCUGUAUGAAGUUACCAGACCAGCUUUGCAACAGCCUUUGUCUUUUUUUUUUUUUCUUACAGCACAUCCUUUUCUGGGUUGACUUUUACUGACUGCUCUAAGGGUUUUGUCAAAUGGUACAUCAAAUGGAAGCUGUGUCACCUAUGCUCUCUCUCUCUGCAACCUAAUUAAAGUAGAUUGGAAAGAAUCAAAGGCCUUAAACAAUCAAAAUGCAAAUAGCUGGGGCUGUCCAGAACAGUUGUUGCAGAACAUGUUAAGUGCUAGAAACAGGAACAGGACAGGAAGCGGUUCCAUGAGGGACUUAUUGGCAGCUGGUGCUUGUGGUUGGAUCCACAUGCUUCACCUGGGUGAUACUGGACUUACGUGGUUUAUAGCUUGGGAGAAGAGGGCCUCGUGUUCAAGUAAGCAGUGAUUCAUGCCCAAAUGAGAACAGAUUUCUCCCGGAAGAAAGUGAUGUCCUCUUCCAUUAUUUCAUGACAGCUUUGUAACAUUUUUUUUUACCAUCUUUAAAACAUUUUUGGCACAAAGCUUAUCUGCCAGCAAUUUUCAGUUGCUGACCCUGUUGUUUAUCUCUCAGAUUUACUGCAAGUUUUCCGUGAUUAAUAUUCCCAGCCUCUGCCUGUUAAUACAAUGUCCAGAGUUCCACAGGCACCAUCA
rnacentral:lncRNA from 1 species